UGACAUUGACUUUUAAAGUAAUCUUAACUUCCGAAGCAACAGCAACAACUUUACAUGGUUAAAAGGUUCAGAUCAUAACAUUACACCUUCUCCAAAAACAAAAAAUGGAACAACCACUAGUCUAAAACAAUUCACAAAAACAUCAAGAUAUCCACAUCUGGGGGUGCUGCUUUCAUUUCAGCAAACUCACAUCACUUCAAUCUUCACAACCAUUGUUUUAGGUGUAUGUAUUAAAUAAAGGGUGA
rnacentral:lncRNA from 1 species